rfam:Roseateles aquatilis strain CCTG 48205 Scaffold4_1, whole genome shotgun sequence.
GGGGCCGACCUGGUUUCGACGUGGGUACGGAUUCGGAGUAGGGCAUGCCGAGCACCAGUCAGCUCGUAAAUCCAUCUGGAACAAACCAACUGCGAACGAUCAAACGUACGCUCUCGCGGCUUAAACCCCGCGGACCUCUCACCGGUAGGCCAAUGGGCCGGGUGACGGGACGCAAGUCCUGACACAGAGAGGUUAUUCACAUUGGCUGGCUGUCAUUCGUGCACCUUGGAUGAUGGCGAGAUUUAGGGUGCUGGCCCGUCCGGUAGCGUGCUCCUGCGCGACCGGCCAGGCGAGAUCCAAACCAGAGAGCUAAGCAUGUAGAACUGCCCGAUGAAGGCUUGCGGACGCGGGUUCAAUUCCCGCCGGCUCCACCA